UACGUAGGUGGCAAGCGUUGUCCGGAUUUACUGGGCGUAAAGCGCACGUAGGCGGCUUUGUAAGUUAGAGGUGAAAGCCCAGGGCUCAACCCUGGAAUUGCCUUUAAGACUGCAUCGCUAGAAUUGUGGAGAGGUAAGUGGAAUUCCGAGUGUAGAGGUGAAAUUCGUAGAUAUUCGGAAGAACACCAGUGGCGAAGGCGACUUACUGGACACAUAUUGACGCUGAGGUGCGAAAGCGUGGGGAGCAAACAGG
rnacentral:rRNA from 1 species